rnacentral:sRNA from 1 species
GCUGGGUGUGGUGGCGCACACCUGUGAUCCCAGCUACUUGGGAGGCUGAGGCAGGAGAAUUGCUUGAACCCAGGAGGUGGAGGUUGCAGUGAGCCAAGACUGCACCACUGCACUCCAACCUGGGUGACAGAGUGAGACUCCAUCUCAC